rnacentral:rRNA from 1 species
AUCGAACGCUGGCGGCAUGCUUUACACAUGCAAGUCGGACGAGUGGCGAACGGGUGAGUAACGCAUCGGAACGUACCGAGUAAUGGGGGAAAACUGUCCGAAAGGACAGCUAAUAACGCAUAUUAUUCUUGCGGCCGAUGUCUGAUUAGCUGGUUGGCGGGGUAAAGGCCAACCAAGGCGACGAUCAGUAGCGGGUCUGAGAGGAUGAUCGGCCCCACUGGGACGGGGAACGGGCCCCGACUCCUACGGGGGGAAGCAGUGGGAAUUUUUGGAAAAGGGGCGCAAGCCUGAUCCAGCCAUGCCGCGUGUCUGAAGAGGGCCUUCGGGUUGUAAAGGACUUUUGUCAGGGAGGCGGUACCUGAAGAGUAAGCACCGGCUAACUACGUGCCAGCAGCCGCGGUAAUUC